CCUUCUUGUUUUUUAUUUAUGAGGUCACUCCCCUAGUGCCGUCCCACUGAGAAGACCUGCGUGUACAAGAUCAAACACGACUCCGUGAGACAGAGUUCAUGUGUUGAGGUAGGUGAAGAGGGGACGAGAGAGGGAGGCCACCUAGAGGUCGGUGGGUUCCGGGCCCGGUACCUACCUCUACCGCUGCAGUUGCGGCGUCCGCCGCCUUCCCCAUCGCGCCCAGCCUCCGCACCCCGGCGCCCCGCGCCCGCCCUCUGCGUCUCGCCGCGGGGCCGGGCUUCCAGCGCCGUCCUCAACCAGCGGCUCCCAGACUCCGCCUCGCGUGCCCCAGCCGUCCGCGUCGCGGCCGCUCAACCACCUCAUUCCUAACACGUCGCCGCUCCUCCGCGGCCGACGAAGGCGAAGGCGCGGUGCUUCCGCUGCUACGCGCUCAGGGCCGGAGCAGGUCUGGUAGGUAGCGGUUAAGCGGUCCGCCUGUGUAAGUCUAAAAUCUUUAUAAUAAGUUCACGAACAAGAACGAUCACUGGCUCCUUAUACCUCACCGUACGUGCUGGUGUUUACCACAAAGUUCGUCAAAAAAGUACAAUACGAGAGGUGGGCUCAUUGUUUUAACCCUUUUGGGAUCAGCAUUAGGGUUUAUCUAUAACGUAAGAACUAACCGUUGUCUUGUCGUAGGGGUUUGGUAAGACUUUAAGAACAGAAAAAAGUGGAAAAAGGAAAUCAAAUAAACCACACUACGACGAUUCCACAAGGCGUUGAUUGACAUUAAUAAUUUCUGUGUCAAGAUAAGAAGGAACUCAAUAAGGUAUGGAAUUAUUAGAGUCCAAACGGUAAACCUGGAAAGAUACUUUGGGGAAGAGAUUGUCCACGUACGUGGUAAUAAAGUAGCUAUUAGUAAAAGUAAAACGUUGUUACAAAUGUGGUUUACCACGACGUCUACCUAUUUCACUAUAGUUUACGAGUUCGAUGGGAUCCUUGUGAAUACAGUGUUGUUAGUUAUUAACCACCGUAAUGAUACUUCUAUUCGUUGUAACCGUCUAAUUAGUAUACUGACACUGUAACUGUUUUGUUUUUACGGUUGUGCUACUAGUAACCAGUCAUUAACAACUAUGGUUAACUAGGGUAGAGUUUCACGGAUAGUCUACUGGUAAGGAACUCUAUUACGGUGUAAGGAGUCGGUGGUCUGUUCAAGACAAACGAGGACCAAAAUGUACAUUCUCAAGUUCUUAAAACGUAGAGGAGUAGGUUAAGGGACGAGUAGCGAUUUUGAUACAAUCAAUAGGGUCUGUUCAAGACAAACGAGGACCAAAAUGUACAUUCUCAAGUUCUUAAAACGUAGAGG
rnacentral:rRNA from 1 species